rnacentral:lncRNA from 1 species
UCAUCUCUCAGUCAGCUGGCGAUGUUGUGAUUGAGGAUCAUGUCACUGCGAAUUACUCUGGAUGGUUGUAUGAGAUGCGACAGAAGGCAGCCCGGGCAGUUGUGGACCAGCCCGGGACCACCAUCAGAGAUCAUCAGCCCCGCAUAGUCUCCGAUUUAGCCUGGGAGGCUAUGUGUGCGCACUGGGAGGCUGAUGACUUCAAGAAAAAGUCCGAGCAGGCUAAGAAGAACCGUGGUCAGCUCUGGAUAGUACACACCACUAGUUCUCAGUCGUUCGAGGAGG